GAUGAACGCUGGCGGCGUGCCUAAUACAUGCAAGUCGAGCGAACAGAUGAGGAGCUUGCUCCUCUGGCGUUAGCGGCGGACGGGUGAGUAACACGUGGAUAACCUACCUAUAAGACUGGGAUAACUUCGGGAAACCGGAGCUAAUACCGGAUAAUAUAUUGAACCGCAUGGUUCAAUAGUGAAAGACGGUUUUGCUGUCACUUAUAGAUGGAUCCGCGCCGCAUUAGCUAGUUGGUAAGGUAACGGCUUACCAAGGCAACGAUGCGUAGCCGACCUGAGAGGGUGAUCGGCCACACUGGAACUGAGACACGGUCCAGACUCCUACGGGAGGCAGCAGUAGGGAAUCUUCCGCAAUGGGCGAAAGCCUGACGGAGCAACGCCGCGUGAGUGAUGAAGGUCUUCGGAUCGUAAAACUCUGUUAUUAGGGAAGAACAAAUGUGUAAGUAACUAUGCACGUCUGGACGGUACCUAAUCAGAAAGCCACGGCUAACUACGU
rnacentral:rRNA from 1 species